rnacentral:rRNA from 1 species
UACGUAGGGUGCGAGCGUUAAUCGGAAUUACUGGGCGUAAAGCGUGCGCAGGCGGUUUUGUAAGCCAGAUGUAAAAUCCCCGGGCUUAACCUGGGAAUGGCAUUUGGGACUGCAAGGCUCGAGUGCGGCAGAGGAGACUGGAAUUCCUGGUGUAGCAGUGAAAUGCGUAGAUAUCAGGAGGAACACCGAUGGCGAAGGCAGGUCUCUGGGCUGACACUGACGCUCAUGCACGAAAGCGUGGGGAGCAAGCAGG